rnacentral:rRNA from 1 species
UACGAAGGGGGCAAGCGUUGUUCGGAAUUACUGGGCGUAAAGGGCGCGUAGGCGGCUUAUCAAGUCAGGCGUGAAAUUCCCGGGCUCAACCUGGGGGCUGCGCUUGAUACUGAUUGGCUUGAAUGCGGGAGAGGAUAGUGGAAUUCCCAGUGUAGAGGUGAAAUUCGUAGAUAUUGGGAAGAACACCGGUGGCGAAGGCGGCUAUCUGGCCCGUAAUUGACGCUGAGGCGCGAAAGCGUGGGGAGCAA